rnacentral:lncRNA from 1 species
UACAAGGGGUAAAGGUGCUUAAGAGAGCUGGUGAAUUUUUCUGAGAGCUGAGGACCAAAUCAGCCCUUGUGCAUGAAGACAGAAAACUAUGUCAGAAGGCUCUCCUGACUAAGCAAGAAGAUUUUUAAUGGGCUGAAAUGGAAAUGCAACCACCCAAGAAGCAGAAACAAGCAUGGGCCAUCAAGGGCAGGGAGAAAUAUCUCCCCUGGUUGUGUGCAGUCAGCUCUAGUUUGAAUGUAUGAGAAUAUCUUUGAGUUGGUCUUCAUCAUCACUCAGAAUCACACUACUGGGAAUGGCAGCAGUAUCCUUUGGCACAGCGAAGUCACCUCCAGAAAUAGUGGCUCACAGCUCUCCUCAGGUUAUGCCAAUAUCAUACGAUCAUCCACCAGCUGGGAUGGUUGCCUUCCCUCAUCUCUCUGGUGCCUUUUAGGUAGUUGGACCCAACUGUUUUGGAAUAAAUCAAGUGAGCAUCACCAGUUUUCCUUUGCUGAGCCACCUUCCCUCUGAUGGACAAAGUUCUCUUUUACCACACUGGGGUGAUCCGUAGCAGUUUGGUGCACUCCUUUAAAAAGAGCAGUGUCUGCAGUGAGCUAUUGUUUGAAUUACUAUGCAAUACAGUGGUUGUAAGAAUAAACUCUUUAAGUCAGAGAUCCUUGUGAAUAAC